AACGGCCGUACCAUGCUGAAUAUACCGGUUCUCGUUAGAUCACCGAAGUUAAGCAUCAUUGGUCGCGGUCAGUACUUGGGUGGGUGACCACCUGGGAACACUGCGUGCCGUU
rnacentral:rRNA from 1 species